rnacentral:ncRNA from 1 species
GGGGACCUGCGGGGCCCUAUAUCGAAACGGACCGAAAGGUCCAAAGCUACGGAAGACAGAGA